GAGGACUGUGAGUUCUACCUCACAGCCCAGCAGUUCAUCGUGCUGCCCAUCCAGAGGCAGAGGAUAGAAUCAUCCGAUGGGAACCAGGAGCCUUCUGUGGUGAAGAAGAUAAAGGAGCUGUGGCUGAAGAAUCCUGCUGUGAAGAAUGCUUCCAGCUCAGGUAAAGAGUUGUGGGGGACACACGAUGCUCUGGCUGCCUCGUAGAGUCGCUGGGUUUCCUCAGCUUUGGUGUGUGUUAGGCAGAGGUAGCACAAGUAUGGUCAGAUCUCACAAGGAUAUGUUGCUAAACCCAAAGCAGGAUGAGGCAGUGCUGAUAGCUGAAGCAGUAUGGGACAUGGCAUGCUGUGUUCAUGCUGCUGGCCCAGGAAGUGUGGACAAAGGAAAGAGAGUUUCUAGAAGCAAAGGAAGUGCAGAAUUUUUGAUAUUUCCACAGAUUUCAGUGCACACAACAGUCAUGCAGCCAAGUAAAAGCGUUUGCAAGUGGGGCUUGCCAGAGUUCAGCUGUCUGCUCCACACAUGUCUCUGUGUUCUUGCUUCAGACCCCUCCAUCUCUCAGCUGAUCGAUGCCAUAGGACAGAACCAGCUGGAGAUUUUGAAGGAAAAUGCUGAGGAAUGCUUGGAUUUACAGAUGCCCAAGGAGAAGACGGUGACGGUGACGGACGAGGUUCCUGUCACCGAGUGGGAGGCAGAGCGCAAGAAAGAGCAGGAUCAGGAUGUUUUCAUGGUCCCAGUCAACACCCUGGUGAUCCCUCCUGAGGAGGAGGAAGUUGCUUGUGAUUCUUCCAAGACAGAUACAAACAAAACAACUGCUGGGAAGAGUAGUGAUGACAGGACAGUGCCAGGGGAUCCAAGUGUUGUAUCCCAAGCCAGCCAUGCUGAGUCACUGGCCUUGUCUGAUAGCUUGGAGGGAUCCCUGGACAACCCCUGGAACAGGAUCCCCCCAUUGUCUUUGACCCCGAGCUCUUCAGAUGAGAAGACCAUUCAACCUGACGCUUCCAUGAAGACCCAGAAAGAUGUGUCUGCUGACAGCAACACCCCCGACCUGCUGGAACUGUGUAGCCAGGACUCUCCCAAGAGAUUGCCACAGGGAGAGCCAGUACAGACUUUCUCUCCCUCCCUGCUCUGCUCCUACAGCAAUCCCAGUCCACUGAAGACCAGCACCAGCCAGGCAGCAUCAGCUUUGGGGGCAGCCUGUGGUGCCCCCUGCACUGCUCAAGGCCCGCAGGGAUCAAGGGGCUCUCAGGCCCCCCUGCCAACUCUUUCUCCAGAUUUCCCUGUCUUGCCCAGCACCAGCUUGCAAUCCAUGCCCAACAGGAUGCCUCAUGGGGAACAGGCGUGCUCCAGUGGCACAGCUUUCCCUCCAGAUGCGUUGAAGCCUUGUCCAGUUCCUGCCAGGACACGGAACGGAGCGGGUGCCAAGAGGAAGUUGGUGGUGGGAGAUGACCAGGCACUGCUGGCCCCCGGCGGGCAGCAGCAUCCCCAGGGCACCCCAAGGGGCAGGGGGACAGGCACAGGCAGGAGAUCAGAGCUCAGGAGCCCACGGCGUGCAAAGAAGAGCAGAAAGGAGACGGGGCUGCAACAUGGAAAGGAGCUUGAGGAGGAAGAGGAGGAGGAGGAGGAGGAGGAAGAAGAGCAAGGGUCGUCCUCUGCGAGCGGCCCCAGCUCCAGGCCGGAGCAGCGCAGAACUCUGGAGCCGUACGUGAGGAAACCAGCCCAGUACAAAUAUGAGGCACCAAGCCCCGAGCUCUGCCAGGAGAUACAGUCUAUCAGGAUCUCCAAGGCAAUGCUGAAGUGGGCAUGCUGGAUACUAACAGAGGAGGAGGAGGAUUCCUGAGCCUAGCCCGCUCUUCACUCCGUCCUUCUUUCACCGUAUCCUCCAAAACACUGGGAAGAGCAGUUGGGGGGGAUGUAGGGACACCAGGACCCCUGUGCCCAAGAGGACCACUGAGUGGGCUGACCUAGCUACAGAGACCUUGGCCCAGGGAUGCUGGGAUAUAACCUGUUGAAAGCCAGCACCCUCGGUGCCAAGAGGGGGAAAAAAGCAUCCAUGCAGGAAUGCCUGCAUGUGAGCUGGCAUCCCUCUCCCACCUUGCCAUCCUUUCCAAAUGCCUUGGCAUCUGGGGACAAGGGGUGACCCAGUGCCACUGUAGCAGCAAUGGCAGAGGCCUGACAACCUGAUCCCCUCUCCGAAGGUGCCCCAGGAGUUCGGAUGUUUUAUUGAUUAGUUUGGGUAGGGUCCUGCAUCAUUUGUUACAAAAAAUAUCCCGCAGGGUUAUGCUGUAGAAAUUAAAAAUAAAAAUUGUAUAUUUUUUGAAUACA
rnacentral:lncRNA from 1 species